UACGGGGGGGGCAAGCGUUGUUCGGAAUUACUGGGCGUAAAGGGCUCGUAGGCGGCCUGCUAAGUCGAACGUGAAAUCCCUGGGCUCAACCCAGGAACUGCGUCCGAUACUGGUUGGCUUGAAUCCGGGAGAGGGAUGUGGAAUUCCAGGUGUAGCGGUGAAAUGCGUAGAUAUCUGGAGGAACACCGGUGGCGAAGGCGACAUCCUGGACCGGUAUUGACGCUGAGACGCGAAAGCGUGGGGAGCGAACAGG
rnacentral:rRNA from 1 species